GCACAUACUGUGAGCUCGAUGAGUAGGGCGGGACACGUGGUAUCCUGUCUGAAUAUGGGGGGACCAUCCUCCAAGGCUAAAUACUCCUGACUGACCGAUAGUGAACCAGUACCGUGAGGGAAAGGCGAAAAGAACCCCGGCGAGGGGAGUGAAAAAGAACCUGAAACCGUGUACGUACAAGCAGUGGGAGCACGCUUAGGCGUGUGACUGCGUACCUUUUGUAUAAUGGGUCAGCGACUUAUAUUCUGUAGCAAGGUUAACCGAAUAGGGGAGCCGAAGGGAAACCGAGUCUUAACUGGGCGUUAAGUUGCAGGGUAUAGACCCGAAACCCGGUGAUCUAGCCAUGGGCAGGUUGAAGGUUGGGUAACACUAACUGGAGGACCGAACCGACUAAUGUUGAAAAAUUAGCGGAUGACUUGUGGCUGGGGGUGAAAGGCCAAUCAAACCGGGAGAUAGCUGGUUCUCCCCGAAAGCUAUUUAGGUAGCGCCUCGUGAAUUCAUCUCCGGGGGUAGAGCACUGUUUCGGCAAGGGGGUCAUCCCGACUUACCAACCCGAUGCAAACUGCGAAUACCGGAGAAUGUUAUCACGGGAGACACACGGCGGGUGCUAACGUCCGUCGUGAAGAGGGAAACAACCCAGACCGCCAGCUAAGGUCCCAAAGUCAUGGUUAAGUGGGAAACGAUGUGGGAAGGCCCAGACAGCCAGGAUGUUGGCUUAGAAGCAGCCAUCAUUUAAAGAAAGCGUAAUAGCUCACUGGUCGAGUCGGCCUGCGCGGAAGAUGUAACGGGGCUAAACCAUGCACCGAAGCUGCGGCAGCGACGCUGAUGCGUUGUUGGGUAGGGGAGCGUUCUGUAAGCCUGUGAAGGUGUGCUGUGAGGCAUGCUGGAGGUAUCAGAAGUGCGAAUGCUGACAUAAGUAACGAUAAAGCGGGUGAAAAGCCCGCUCGCCGGAAGACCAAGGGUUCCUGUCCAACGUUAAUCGGGGCAGGGUGAGUCGACCCCUAAGGCGAGGCCGAAAGGCGUAGUCGAUGGGAAACAGGUUAAUAUUCCUGUACUUGGUGUUACUGCGAAGGGGGGACGGAGAAGGCUAUGUUGGCCGGGCGACGGUUGUCCCGGUUUAAGCGUGUAGGCUGGUUUUCCAGGCAAAUCCGGAAAAUCAAGGCUGAGGCGUGAUGACGAGGCACUACGGUGCUGAAGCAACAAAUGCCCUGCUUCCAGGAAAAGCCUCUAAGCAUCAGGUAACAUCAAAUCGUACCCCAAACCGACACAGGUGGUCAGGUAGAGAAUACCAAGGCGCUUGAGAGAACUCGGGUGAAGGAACUAGGCAAAAUGGUGCCGUAACUUCGGGAGAAGGCACGCUGAUAUGUAGGUGAAGUCCCUCGCGGAUGGAGCUGAAAUCAGUCGAAGAUACCAGCUGGCUGCAACUGUUUAUUAAAAACACAGCACUGUGCAAACACGAAAGUGGACGUAUACGGUGUGACGCCUGCCCGGUGCCGGAAGGUUAAUUGAUGGGGUCAGCGCAAGCGAAGCUCUUGAUCGAAGCCCCGGUAAACGGCGGCCGUAACUAUAACGGUCCUAAGGUAGCGAAAUUCCUUGUCGGGUAAGUUCCGACCUGCACGAAUGGCGUAAUGAUGGCCAGGCUGUCUCCACCCGAGACUCAGUGAAAUUGAACUCGCUGUGAAGAUGCAGUGUACCCGCGGCAAGACGGAAAGACCCCGUGAACCUUUACUAUAGCUUGACACUGAACAUUGAGCCUUGAUGUGUAGGAUAGGUGGGAGGCUUUGAAGUGUGGACGCCAGUCUGCAUGGAGCCGGCCUUGAAAUACCACCCUUUAAUGUUUGAUGUUCUAACGUUGACCCGU
rnacentral:rRNA from 1 species